UACGAAGGGGGCAAGCGUUGUCCGGAUUUAUUGGGCGUAAAGAGCGUGUAGGCGGCUGGGUAGGUCCGGUGUGAAAACUCGAGGCUCAACCUCGAGACGCCGAUGGAAACCCCCCAGCUAGAGUCCGGAAGAGGAGAGUGGAAUUCCUGGUGUAGCGGUGAAAUGCGCAGAUAUCAGGAAGAACACCCGUGGCUAAGGCGGCUCUCUAGUACGGUACUGACGCUGAGACGCGAAAGCGUGGGGAGCGAACAGG
rnacentral:rRNA from 1 species